rnacentral:rRNA from 1 species
UACGGAGGGGGCUAGCGUUAUUCGGAAUUACUGGGCGUAAAGCGCACGUAGACGGAUCGGAAAGUCAGAGGUGAAAUCCCAGGGCUCAACCCUGGAACUGCCUUUGAAACUCCCGAUCUUGAGGUCGAGAGAGGUGAGUGGAAUUCCGAGUGUAGAGGUGAAAUUCGUAGAUAUUCGGAGGAACACCAGUGGCGAAGGCGGCUCACUGGCUCGAUACUGACGCUGAGGUGCGAAAGCGUGGGGAGCAAAC